AUCGCUUCUCAGCCUUUUGGCUAAGAUCAAGUGUACAUUUUUUUCUUCUGUUUCUUGAUCCCAUCUAUUUUAUUGUUAGGCUCUUGUAGGUUUCUAAGGAAAUUCCUAUUCCAAUGCCAGGUUUAGCAGAAUAAAAAAAUACUUAUUCUAAAAUCUGACAGACA
rnacentral:snRNA from 1 species